rnacentral:rRNA from 1 species
UAGGGAAUCUUCCACAAUGGACGCAAGUCUGAUGGAGCAACGCCGCGUGAGUGAAGAAGGUUUUCGGAUCGUAAAGCUCUGUUGUUGGUGAAGAAGGAUAGAGGUAGUAGCUGGCCUUUAUUUGACGGUAAUCAACCAGAAAGUCACGGCUAACUACGUGCCAC